rnacentral:rRNA from 1 species
AUUGAACGCUGGCGGCAGGCCUAACACAUGCAAGUCGAGCGGAUGAAGGGAGCUUGCUCCUGGAUUCAGCGGCGGACGGGUGAGUAAUACCUAGGAAUCUGCCUGGUAGUGGGGGAUAACGUCCGGAAACGGGCGCUAAUACCGCAUACGUCCUGAGGGAGAAAGUGGGGGAUCUUCGGACCUCACGCUAUCAGAUGAGCCUAGGUCGGAUUAGCUAGUUGGUGGGGUAAAGGCCUACCAAGGCGACGAUCCGUAACUGGUCUGAGAGGAUGAUCAGUCACACUGGAACUGAGACACGGUCCAGACUCCUACGGGAGGCAGCAGUGGGGAAUAUUGGACAAUGGGCGAAAGCCUGAUCCAGCCAUGCCGCGUGUGUGAAGAAGGUCUUCGGAUUGUAAAGCACCUUAAGUUGGGAGGAAGGGCAGUAAGUUAAUACCUUGCUGUUUUGACGUUACCAACAGAAUAAGCACCGGCUAACUUCGUG